AAUCUUAUAGUCAAAAAUGAUAUUAAAUUGCAAAUUUAAAGGAGUAUUAAUACUAAGGUUU
rnacentral:tRNA from 3 species